GCUUCUAGGAACGCGUAUUUGUU
rnacentral:miRNA from 1 species